rnacentral:rRNA from 1 species
UACGUAGGGGGCUAGCGUUGUCCGGAAUCAUUGGGCGUAAAGAGCGUGUAGGCGGCUCGGUAAGUCCGCUGUAAAAGUCAAAGGCUCAACCUUUGAAUGUCAGUGGAUACUGCCGGGCUAGAGUCCGGAAGAGGCGAGUGGAACUCCUGGUGUAGCGGUGGAAUGCGCAGAUAUCAGGAAGAACACCGAUGGCGAAGGCAGGUCUCUGGGCCAUAACUGACGCUGAGAAGCGAAAGCAUGGGGAGCGAACAGG